UCUCUCCUUGAGAUACCCUCCUCAUUUGUCUUCCAUAGAAUUUAUAUAUUCUGCUUUUACCUGUUACCUCUGGCUGUUUCUUCUCCAUCUUUCAAAUCUGUAACCCCUAAAGCAGUGGUAAAGAAUCUGCCUGCCAAUCAGGAGGCACAAAAGAUGCAUGUUCAAUACCUUGGUGGGGAAGAUCCCCUGGAAGAGGGCAUGGCAACCCACUCCAGUAUUCUUACCUGGAGAAGAUAUUAAAAGAUAUUCUUGUCUGGAUUUUAUUUUCUCACAGUUCUGGAGCUUAGAAGCCCAAGAUCAAGGUGCUGGAAAAUUCUGUUUCUGGUGGUCCAGUGGCUAAGACUCCAUGCUCACAGUGUUGGUGGCACAGGUUCUAUCCCUGAUCAGGGAACUAGAUCGCACAUGCCAGAGCUAAAGAUCCUGCGUGCCACAAAAAAGAUGGAAGAUCCUGCAUGUGAGAAUUGGACUAUAAAGAAAGCUGAGCACUGAAGAAUUGAUGCUUUUGAACUGUGGUGUUGGAGAAAGACUCUUGAGAGUCCCUUGGACUGCAAGGAGAUCCAAGCACUCCAUCCUAAAGGAGAUUAGUCCUGAUUACUCAUUUUAAGGACUGAUGCUGAAGCUGAAACUCCAAUUCUUUGACCACCUGAUGCCAAGAACUGACUCAUUGAAAAGUUCCUGAUGCUGGGAAAAAUUGAAGGUGGGAGGAGAAGGAGACAACAGAGGAUGAGAUGGUUGGAUGGUAUCAUGGACGUGAUGGAUAUGAGUUUGAGCAAGCUCUGGGAGUUGGUGAUGGGCAGGGAAGCCUCACGUGCUGCAGUCCAUGGGGUCACAAAUAGUUGGACACGACUGAGUGACUGAACUGAACUGAACUGAACUGAGUCUUCUCUACU
ensembl:lncRNA